GUGGGGUUUUCUUGUUCCUUUGGGAUUCCAUUUUGUAGAUUUGGGGAGUGAUGGGGGGAGAAGAGAAACUUCAAAUUAUUCAUAGUGAGGGGGAAGAAGCCAAACUUCAAAAUAUUCAUAGUGAGGAUGAGGAAGUGCAAGAAAGUAAGCAUAAUAAUGGGAUCUGUAGUUCUAUUUGUGCUCCAGUCAACUGGUUCAAAAUGCUUACUAUGGAAUUACACUGGAAUUUUGUGUUUAGUGUGGUGAUUGUAUAUGGAGUAAGC
rnacentral:misc_RNA from 1 species